rnacentral:rRNA from 1 species
AGGACGAACGCUGGCGGCGUGCUUAACACAUGCAAGUCGAACGGAAAGGCCCGCUUGCGGGUACUCGAGUGGCGAACGGGUGAGUAACACGUGGGCAACCUGCCCUCAGCUUCGGGAUAACACUUGGAAACAGGUGCUAAUACCGGAUAAUAACCUUUCAUCGCAUGGUGGUUGGUUCAAAGUUUUUUCGGCUGAGGAUGGGCCCGCGGCCUAUCAGCUUGUUGGUGGGGUAAUGGCCUACCAAGGCGACG